UACGUAGGGUGCAAGCGUUGUCCGGAAUUAUUGGGCGUAAAGAGCUCGUAGGCGGUCUGUCGCGUCUGCUGUGAAAACUCAGGGCUUAACUCUGAGCUUGCAGUGGGUACGGGCAGACUAGAGUGCGGUAGGGGAGACUGGAAUUCCUGGUGUAGCGGUGAAAUGCGCAGAUAUCAGGAGGAACACCGGUGGCGAAGGCGGGUCUCUGGGCCGUAACUGACGCUGAGGAGCGAAAGCGUGGGGAGCGAACAGG
rnacentral:rRNA from 1 species